rnacentral:rRNA from 1 species
ACAGGGGAAUUGCGUUAGUAGCGGCGAGUGAAGCGGCAAAAGCUCAAAUUUGAAAUCUGGCGCCUUCGGUGUCCGAGUUGUAAUUUGAAGAUUGUAACCUUGGGGUUGGCUCUUGUCUAUGUUUCUUGGAACAGGACGUCACAGAGGGUGAGAAUCCCGUGCGAUGAGAUGCCCAAUUCUAUGUAAGGUGCUUUCGAAGAGUCGAGUUGUUUGGGAAUGCAGCUCUAAGUGGGUGGUAAAUUCCAUCUAAAGCUAAAUAUUGGCGAGAGACCGAUAGCGAACAAGUACAGUGAUGGAAAGAUGAAAAGAACUUUGAAAAGAGAGUGAAAAAGUACGUGAAAUUGUUGAAAGGGAAGGGUUUGAGAUCAGACUCGAUAUUUUGUGAGCCUUGCCUUCGUGGCGGGGUGACCCGCAGCUUAUCGGGCCAGCAUCGGUUUGGGCGGUAGGAUAAUGGCGUAGGAAUGUGACUUUACUUCGGUGAAGUGUUAUAGCCUGCGUUGAUGCUGCCUGCCUAGACCGAGGACUGCGAUUUUAUCAAGGAUGCUGGCAUAAUGAUCCCAAACCGCCCGUCUUGAACMMMSGGACMCA